GCUGGACCCUGGGUGCUCUGAAAGAAAUUCCAUCUCUGGGAAAGCCACUUGGCCGAGCUCCAUUUAAAUUUCCCUGUCUGAAGGAAGAAUUUAUUUUGGAGGAAUCACAUAUUUAGUACGUACUUCUUUACAAAUUCUCUCUCUUCUCCCUCUGCUCCCCCCACCCCCCCCAAGCUCAUGGGAACCUCUUUAUCCAAGAGCUAAAAGCAUCCCAAAGACAUUCUGUUGACCUUCCAGGCAACUGCAUUCCAUUCCUUCAUCAUGAACUCACUGGGGAUCCCUGGUGGGGGCUCACAUCUGAAAAUAACAGCAGCUUCCAUUUACCCAGUGUUUAUUGCAUACCCAAUGUUCAGCUGGGCACCUUGCUUACAUGAUCUCAUUUGAUCUCUGCCAUGAUCCUGCAGGGCAGCGAUUGACUGCAUUUUACAGAUGAGGAACUGAGGCACAGACUGGUUUUGCAAGUGGUUCAGGGUUACAUAGAUCUCCAGUGGCCUGGGACAAAAAUCCCGGCCUGUCAGACCAGAAUCCACAAAAAGCUGCUCUAGGGAUAUAUUGUUGCUUCUAUACCCUUAAUGAUGAAACAGGUCAAAUGCAUUGUGUAUUUACUUCCUAAAACAUGUUUGUUUUUAGAGCUAAAUGCCUGCCCUCAUCCCAAUGCAGGAGAUUGAUGGAAAGAUUAAUGUUAUAUUGUGUAAAGACACGAAUAAUUUCUAUAUAGGGACACACGAGGGCACUCUAACCUCCUCUCAGUUGAGGAAACGUUUUCUUCGUAGUUCCUCAGCUCAGAGCCUUGAAUCCCAGUGCUGGUUCUGCUCUGAUUACUUGUGUGAACUUAGAUUGUAAAUUCACACUGGAGGUCGGUUGCUCCAUUUACAGAUUUAGGAAAGGGGGGGGGCGUGAAACGAGCCUCUCACUUAGGAUCUCUUCUACCUUAAGAACUGGAUGAUUCCAACUUACUAACAGUUCAUUAAACAGGGAUUUAUGACCCUGUUUUAACAAGGAUUAUUAGUCAUUGCAAAGAAACAAGAUCCGUUUCUUUCAUGCUUACUAUACUUAAGCAGAAAAUGUGCUUAUAAAUUUAACUCACCAUAUUUGCAAAAAGCAAAUCCAUCUAGGCCCGAGGGUGGUCUUUUAUUUAUCUUUGGCUCAUCUGAGAAUUUCGUGAAACUGCUGGAGAAAUUCUUGCCCUUCACACAGGUUCAGGUUCUCUUUUUCUCAAGGGCCACCUUAUGGUUAGCUUGCUGUAUUAUCCGCACGUUAACUGAACGCACUAGCCAGUAGCUUGCUUCUAGUUUAGCAUUUAUUUAUGUGACAGCUCCCUUCACUCCACCCGCUGGUGUCUGAUUGCUUUGUGGGACAGUUUCAUGCAAUUUAUUAUGGGGACUUUGAAAAAAACACCUUUAUAGUCACCUUGCUUGGUUGAAAUUUUUCACAGGUCAGGGUUAUUUUAAGAUUUAUUUGACAAGCUGCAGAAGGGUCGAGAUCCAGGGAAGCUCCUCGGCUAGGUCCCCUCAAGAACAACAGUUUUUUUUUCCUCUCUUUCCUAUAAAUGAAGGACUAAGCCAUGUACUCCGACAGAGGAAAGGGAAAAAGGAGGAGGGAAAAGCCUACAGGUAGCAGUCUAAAUUGCACGAAAUGACAGGUUUAAAGGGAAUUUGGACAUUACACACAGCAGGGAAAGUGAAUGAAAACACACCCCACUCUGAAAGAUGAGUGUCCUGACAAGCUUACACACCAGCUAAAAGCCUCUGCUGAUCUUUAGGUAUCAAGGCAGAAAGAUCUUUUCUCUGCUGGAACCUCGCUGGGCGAUUACUACACAGACCACUUAAACCACUGGGCUGCUUCUGUUCUGAGUCAAUAAAAAGCCUCCUAGAUGUUUAGUCUUGAAAAAAAAAAAAAAGUGACUUAUUCAGCCGGAACAGGUUAUUGGGCAAUGUUUCAAACACAACCAUCCUCAUGGGUGCUCAGGCAUUAGAGUCCUGGCGUGGAAGCAAAUGCCUCAGAUGAAAAGAAAAGUACUCUCUAUUACAACCAACAAAAGGAAAGGAACUGAAGUCACAGCCCAACACUGGUCCAUCUCCAACUCUAUAGGUGUCUCUUAUUCAGGUGCACCUACAUGAAUUUGGCAAGACCUAGUUCUUACAGCCUAGUAUUGUUAUCAGGACUUAUGCUGCAAUUUGCUUAACUUCUCUGUACUUCAGUUUCUUCAUCUGUAAAACGGAGAUCACCGUAUUUAUAUCACUGGGUUGUAAAGCUUAACCAGGCAGGUUUACAUAAAUCAAGUAGAGCAAUAUCAGCCACCACAUAAAUGUUUGGUAAGUGUUAUGUGAGAAAUCUUUUUCUAUUAUUCUGAUUAUUUUAUUUUUAUUUCAUAAAGCCUUGGGACACCUUAAGAGAACCUUGCAAUGCACUUGUAAGAUUUUGUCCUACCCGAGGCACUGUGACUUUCUCUAUGUCCUACUUUCUUCUUAAAUUAGCUAGAAACAUCUGCUUUUUAUGCUUAAAUUCUUUGUAGAUAUUUCAAGAGUCCACGUUUCUCUCUUUGGCUCCCUCCCUUUUUUGCACAAGAUCCUUAUUCUGAACCAGACACUGAGUAUACAGAGGUGACCAAACACUGCUGGGUGCAGUGGAAAGCCAGGUAAACAGUCCCCAUGGCAUAUAAUAUGUCCCCUAAUGGAGGCGUGCACAGAAGGGGUACUGAGCUGUUUCUUGCAGGGUGGGCCAAGUGAAGUGGGGGCUGUUGGGAGGGAGGUCCUGAUGGUAGAGGAAAGAACAUAUGCGCAAAGACUAGAGUCAGAGACCACAUAUUUUCUUCCAGAGUUUUCUUUGGCCUCCAAAUUGUCACUGGCUCCCUACAGUCUAUGAGCUAAAGCAUGAGGUGCUCUGCACCACAUUGAAAACCUCCCUCAAUCUGCCCUAAGUCCAUCUGCCCAGUCCUUUUCCACUGCUUCUUCCUGUCACUUGUACAGAGAGCCAUGCCAGCUCUUGCUCUCCCAUCUCGGAUUUCAUCCAUCUGGUUCCCUGUGUCUGGAAUGCCCCCCUCCCCACAUCACAAUCCUACCCCUCCUCCACCAGCUCCCAGGUGUCCUCCCAGGACAGCUGUCCUUUCACCCCCAUCUGCAAGUAACUGCCCCCCUUUCCCAGGUCCCUAGCGCAGUUUCCUUGUUUCUUUACCGUGGCAUUCACCGCCUUCUGCUUUGAUUUGCUUUAUUUGAACCUUAGUAUCUCUCCUACAAGAUUACAAACUAGGGGCACCUGGGUGGCUCAGUGGUUGGCGCAUCUGCCUUUGGCUUAGGUCGUGAUCCUGGGGUCCUGGAAUCAAGUCUCGCAUCGGGCUCCCUGCAGGGAGCCUGCUCCUCCAUCUGCCUAUGUCUCUGCCUCUCUCUGUGUGUCUCUCAUGAAUAAAUAAAUAAAAUCUUAAACAAAAAAAGAUUACAAACAACAUCUCCUUAAAAUUUUAAAGAUUUCCUUUAGUAUCUAGUAUGGUGCUUGGUA
rnacentral:lncRNA from 1 species